GACGAACGCUGGCGGCGUGCUUAACACAUGCAAGUCGAACGAAGAGCGAUGGAAGCUUGCUUCUAUCAAUCUUAGUGGCGAACGGGUGAGUAACGCGUAAUCAACCUGCCCUUCAGAGGGGGACAACAGUUGGAAACGACUGCUAAUACCGCAUACGAUCUAACCUUGGCAUCGAGGAUGGAUGAAAGGUGGCCUCUAUUUAUAAGCUAUCACUGAAGGAGGGGAUUGCGUCUGAUUAGCUAGUUGGAGGGGUAACGGCCCACCAAGGCGAUGAUCAGUAGCCGGUCUGAGAGGAUGAACGGCCACAUUGGGACUGAGACACGGCCCAGACUCCUACGGGAGGCAGCAGUGGGGAAUCUUCCGCAAUGGACGAAAGUCUGACGGAGCAACGCCGCGUGAGUGAUGACGGCCUUCGGGUUGUAAAGCUCUGUUAAUCGGGACGAAAGGCCUUCUUGCGAAUAGUUAGAAGGAUUGACG
rnacentral:rRNA from 1 species